rnacentral:rRNA from 1 species
GACGAACGCUGGCGGCGUGCCUAAUACAUGCAAGUCGAACGAACUCUGGUAUUGAUUGGUGCUUGCAUCAUGAUUUACAUUUGAGUGAGUGGCGAACUGGUGAGUAACACGUGGGAAACCUGCCCAGAAGCGGGGGAUAACACCUGGAAACAGAUGCUAAUACCGCAUAACAACUUGGACCGCAUGGUCCGAGUUUGAAAGAUGGCUUCGGCUAUCACUUUUGGAUGGUCCCGCGGCGUAUUAGCUAGAUGGUGGGGUAACGGCUCACCAUGGCAAUGAUACGUAGCCGACCUGAGAGGGUAAUCGGCCACAUUGGGACUGAGACACGGCCCAAACUCCUACGGGAGGCAGCAGUAGGGAAUCUUCCACAAUGGACGAAAGUCUGAUGGAGCAACGCCGCGUGAGUGAAGAAGGGUUUCGGCUCGUAAAACUCUGUUGUUAAAGAAGAACAUAUCUGAGAGUAACUGUUCAGGUAUUGACGGUAUUUAACCAGAAAGCCACGGCUAACUACGUGCCAGCAGCCGCGGUAAUACGUAGGUGGCAAGCGUUGUCCGGAUUUAUUGGGCGUAAAGCGAGCGCAGGCGGUUUUUUAAGUCUGAUGUGAAAGCCUUCGGCUCAACCGAAGAAGUGCAUCGGAAACUGGGAAACUUGAGUGCAGAAGAGGACAGUGGAACUCCAUGUGUAGCGGUGAAAUGCGUAGAUAUAUGGAAGAACACCAGUGGCGAAGGCGGCUGUCUGGUCUGUAACUGACGCUGAGGCUCGAAAGUAUGGGUAGCAAACAGGAUUAGAUACCCUGGUAGUCCAUACCGUAAACGAUGAAUGCUAAGUGUUGGAGGGUUUCCGCCCUUCAGUGCUGCAGCUAACGCAUUAAGCAUUCCGCCUGGGGAGUACGGCCGCAAGGCUGAAACUCAAAGGAAUUGACGGGGGCCCGCACAAGCGGUGGAGCAUGUGGUUUAAUUCGAAGCUACGCGAAGAACCUUACCAGGUUUUGACAUACUAUGCAAAUCUAAGAGAUUAGACGUUCCCUUCGGGGACAUGGAUACAGGUGGUGCAUGGUUGUCGUCAGCUCGUGUCGUGAGAUGUUGGGUUAAGUCCCGCAACGAGCGCAACCCUUAUUAUCAGUUGCCAGCAUUAAGUUGGGCACUCUGGUGAGACUGCCGGUGACAAACCGGAGGAAGGUGGGGAUGACGUCAAAUCAUCAUGCCCCUUAUGACCUGGGCUACACACGUGCUACAAUGGAUGGUACAACGAGUUGCGAACUCGCGAGAGUAAGCUAAUCUCUUAAAGCCAUUCUCAGUUCGGAUUGUAGGCUGCAACUCGCCUACAUGAAGUCGGAAUCGCUAGUAAUCGCGGAUCAGCAUGCCGCGGUGAAUACGUUCCCGGGCCUUGUACACACCGCCCGUCACACCAUGAGAGUUUGUAACACCCAAAGUCGGUGGGGUAACCUUUUAGGAACCAGCCGCCUAAGGUGGGACAGAUGAUUAGGGUGAAGUCGUAACAAGGUAGCCGUAG